CAAGCGCACGGUUGCAACGGAGAAUGACUCUGACCCGCCGAAGACGAGCCAGCCAGCCGAGGCACGGGUCUGGAAGAGCAAGGCAGGCAAUUUCUCGGUGACCGCCACGCUCGUCUCGUUCGACGGCAAGGCGGCUCAGCUUCGCAAAGCUGACGGCAAGACGGUCACCGUCCCGCUCGA
rnacentral:misc_RNA from 1 species